rnacentral:tRNA from 1 species
GGAAUAUAGCUCAGUGGCACAGCGCCUGCCUGGUAAGCACAUGGUCCUGAGUUCAAUUCCCAGUACCA